GGGCCGUUUUUUAGCUCAGUUGGUCAGAGCGUUGGUGCUAAUAACGCCAAGGUCGUGGGGGGUUUAAACCCCCUACUGGCCCA